rnacentral:rRNA from 1 species
AACAAACGCUGGCGGCGUGCCUAAUACAUGCAAGUCGAACGAGGUAGCAAUACCUAGUGGCGCACGGGUGAGUAACGCGUGGAUAAUCUGCCCUUCAGUGGGGAAUAACUCUCCGAAAGGAGAGCUAAUACCGCAUAAGACCACAGUGACUUUGGUCACAGAGGUUAAAGGAGCAAUUCGCUGAAGGAUGAGUCCGCGUCAGAUUAUGGUAGUUGGUGGGGUAACGGCCUACCAAGCCUUCGAUCUGUAGCUGGUCUGAGAGGAUGAUCAGCCACACUGGAACUGAGACACGGUCCAGACUCCUACGGGAGGCAGCAGUAGGGAAUAUUGGUCAAUGGGCGAAAGCCUGAAUCAGCAACGCCGCGUGAGCGACGAAGGCCUUAGGGUUGUAAAGCUCUGUUGCAAGGGAAGAAAAAAAUGACGGUACUUUGCGAGAAAGGACCGGCCAACUUCGUG